UACGUAGGGUGCGAGCGUUAAUCGGAAUUACUGGGCGUAAAGCGUGCGCAGGCGGUUUUGUAAGCCAGAUGUGAAAGCCCCGGGCUUAACCUGAGAAUGGCAUUUGGGACUGCAAGGCUUGAGUGCGGCAGAGGAGACUGGAAUUCCCGGUGUAGCAGUGAAAUGCGUAGAUAUCGGGAGGAAUACCGAUGGCGAAGGCAGGUCUCUGGGAUGACACUGACGCUCAUGCACGAAAGCGUGGGGAGCAAACAGG
rnacentral:rRNA from 1 species